CUGAUUUAUCCCAUAGAAUCUAUGAAUCCACAUCAAAUUGAUCUUCCUCAGCACCUGGUCCUGGCUAUGCUUCUGAUUCUUCUUUUCUUCAGUGAUCAGGUUUUUCAUCUUGCCCAUCAUCUUCUGGACCUCAAAUACCUGCUGAAGACCAGAUUUUGCCUUAAUUUAGCGGGCUUGAACUCUACUGAUGAUAUGAAGCAACCCUGCCCUACCUGGUCGAGAAGGAAAAUGUUUUCAAAAAUCUGUUCAGUAUUCCGCGUUUCUGAUAUUUACAUCUCAUAAAGAAUAAAUCUGGAAUGGAGUCAAAAAAAGGAGUUAAG
rnacentral:lncRNA from 1 species